AACGAACGCUGGCGGCAUGCCUAACACAUGCAAGUCGAACGAGACCUUCGGGUCUAGUGGCGCACGGGUGCGUAACGCGUGGGAACCUGCCCUUAGGUUCGGAAUAACUCCCCGAAAGGGGUGCUAAUACCGGAUAAUGUCUUCGGACCAAAGAUUUAUCGCCUUUGGAUGGGCCCGCGUUGGAUUAGCUAGUUGGUAGGGUAAAAGCCUACCAAGGCGACGAUCCAUAGCUGGUCUGUGAGGAUGAUCAGCCACACUAGGACUGAGACACGGCCCAGACUCCUACGGGAGGCAGCAGUGGGGAAUAUUGGACAAUGGGCGAAAGCCUGAUCCAGCAAUGCCGCGUGAGUGAUGAAGGCCUUAGGGUUGUAAAGCUCUUUUACCCGGGAUGAUAAUGACAGUACCGGGAGAAUAAGCUCCGGCUAACUCCGUG
rnacentral:rRNA from 1 species